rnacentral:lncRNA from 1 species
GUAUCCGUGCUGCAGUUCUCUGUGCAUCUGUUACGUCUAGCGACGUUGGAGUUGGACUUCAGUGAUAAGUGACACCCUACGAACGCUCAUAGCAUAAGCACGUACCAUUAAGUAUAGCAUAAGCAUAUAACAUUAAGCAUAGAAUAAGCAUAGUCAUAAGCGCGCCUUUACUCCUACUACAUCAUACUACCAGUCCUUACGUCAUCCUUCCAGAAGCCUCCAGAACAGUCUAGAUCAUUCCAGAAGCUUCUAGAACAAUCCAGAUCAUUCUAGAAGCAAUCUCCGAUAACCCAACUUCCAUAUCGCUUCCACACCUGCUUAUCUUGCAUACCUCCGUUAUCUCAUAAACAUCCGCCGACUAAUCCGUCCAGACUAAACCGCCAGCCAAACACAUUCCAUUCCCAUACUCGUAUUACUCCCCAAUCCCUUAUCUCACAAACAUCCGCCGACCAACCGACCGACCCAAUCUCCGACUGCAUACCAAUCCUAUGACGUCACCAUGCACGUGUCCCAGCCUCCCAGGCUUCUCCCUAUCGCAUUCCACCGUUAUCACAUAAACAUCCUGACUCCCACGAUCCAAGCCACACGUGUCCCAAUCUCUUCCCAACAAAUUCCACCGUUAUCGUAUCUUCACCACUCCCCGCAAUCCUACAUCCUAACAGUAUAACUAAGCCAUACCUCCAGUCACGCAGUCAGUCCGAGCCCAGUCUCGGAGCAGUCACGAGCAGUCUCUGUCCGGAGCUCGAGGAGCUCACUUCACCGCGUUUCUACAUCUUGUGUUACCAUUUCUUCUACAUCUCACUAGUUCAUAGUCAUUGUAUUCUACCUCUUCUAAGUGUAUUAAAGUUUAAGUGUAUUAGUGUACUAAGUUUACUCGUAUCCUAUAUUAUUCAUUUUAUUAAACCCGGUUAAGUGUUAAAUCUUCUUGUCUCAAAUAAUUCUAAAUCCCAACUCCGAAUAAUAAUUAAUCACGCGUCAUCGAAGAAUACAGAAGGAAGACAACCCUGAAACAACGACAACUUCUCUUCUACAGCAGUACAAUUAUUCACAUCAAACCAAAUGAAACCAACAGUUCCGAAUUCGGACGCCGCAGACUCACCUGCGCUGCAAACCAAAGCGGACGUUGGAAUCAAGAAGAAGCGCAAAAGAACAGGAAGGCGUGGUGGAAAGAAAGUCCAGGCAAAACGCAAAUUCGCGAUUGCCCGGGAACUGGAAGAAUUAAAGAAGCAAACCUUGCCAUACGUAACGCCUUUUCUUGAAACGGAACCACCGCCGACGCCAGAACCGCGGGAUAUUCCACCAAACCCGCCGGAAUCGCCAGAAAUCCGACGCAGAAACAAUCAAUAUUCCAAUUCCGCCACCACCCAUUGAAAUACUAAAUACGGAAACAGCGUUAAAGGUCAAUCAUCAUCGCGAAAUCCCCGACCACAUGUUACUAUCUUUUAUAAAAACCUUUUCUGGCAAUAAUGCACACGAGAAUCCGGAAUUUGUUAUCGAAUGGUGCAAUUCAAUGUGCCUUCUAGAGCAAUAAAGAACCAGUUCGCAAUCAUUUGAAGUUUUUUUCCCUGUGUACAUUAGUAUUUGAAUAAGCAAAAUGGAAACGCGCGCAAAGAAGCACCCUGAAAACCCCGAAGACCCCAGACGUCUUGAACGAGAAUGUGAAUUGCUAAUGC